rnacentral:rRNA from 1 species
GACGAACGCUGGCGGCGUGCUUAACACAUGCAAGUCGAACGAAGUGGCGAACGGGUGAGUAAUGCGUAAUCAACCUCCCCUUCAAAGGGGGACAACAGUUGGAAACGACUGCUAUUACCGCAUACUGAAGGAGGGGAUUGCGUCUGUUUAGCUAGUUGGAGGGGUAACGGCCUACCGAGGGUAUGACGAGUAACUGGGCUGAGAGGAUGAGCAGGCAAAUUGGAAGGGAGACACGGGACAAGCUCAUACGGGAGGGAGCAGUAGGGAAUAGUGGGCAAGGGGGGAAACUCUGACGGAGCAACGGCGCGUGGAGGAUGACACGUGGGGGAGCGUAAACUCCUUUUGUUAGGGGAGCGGUACCUAAAGAAUAAGCACCGGCUAACUCCGUGCCAGCAGCCGCGGUAAUUC